CGUCGAAUUCCGACGUACGGUCCUAAAGUUACGCCAAGAACGGAUAAUUACGACUUAAAGCAUUUGAUCGCGCGUACACAUGGAGGUGCGAUCAUACCAACACUAAUGCACCGGAUCCCAUCAGAACUCCGCAGUGAAGCGUGCUUGGGCGAGAGUAGUACUAGGAUGGGUGACCUCCUGGGAAGUCCUCGUGUUGCACCUCU
rnacentral:sRNA from 1 species